rnacentral:lncRNA from 1 species
GAGAUCACCAUGGUGACUUGCAAGCAACUCACUAUACUUUAGGGUCAUACUAUCUAAAUUUUUAAUUUAGUGAUGAAAAAUUUUUAGGUACAGUUAAGUACUUGCUAAGUUGGUGUGUGAGUCAAGAUGAGAUUGACCGCUCAUAGUUUCAAAAGAUAGUGUGACAUUAUAUUUCAAUUCAGCAAAAUUUUGAUCAGGAUAGUCCUUAUGAGGAGUCACAGGAUUUAUAAAGUUGAAACACAUUAUGGAUGUACUGAUUAAGAGUUG